rnacentral:rRNA from 1 species
UACGUAGGGCGCAAGCGUUGUCCGGAAUUAUUGGGCGUAAAGAGCUCGUAGGCGGCUUGUCACGUCGGAUGUGAAAGCCCGAGGCUUAACCUCGGGUCUGCAUUCGAUACGGGCUAGCUAGAGUAUGGUAGGGGAGAUCGGAAUUCCUGGUGUAGCGGUGAAAUGCGCAGAUAUCAGGAGGAACACCGGUGGCGAAGGCGGAUCUCUGGGCCAUUACUGACGCUGAGGAGCGAAAGCGUGGGGAGCGAACAGG